GAACGCUGGCGUUGCCAUGGUGACAUAGCGGCCACGGAAUCGGCUCGAUGGCAGUCAUCCCUCCUCAAAUAUCCGUGUCACGUCUUUUCGAAUCCUAGAGAUGUAACGAGAAUGCCAAAACUUUCCAAACUGCUAACUUAUACAAACCCGCAGUUGGAACAGCCGUUGACAUUCUUCUACACCCUGAUGAACCUGAGGCGAGAUCAGUUACUCUCCCAGUCGUCCGCGGGCUUUCUGUCCGGGCGAAGACGAUGUUUGUGAUGCCACAUGUAACUUGAUUAUCCGAGCGAGGGAAUGAGGGUAGCAAGAAGAAGACGCCCCUGGUUCGGAGAUGUUCCCAAUGAAGACCUUUUAUCCUCUAUUUGCAGCAAAUUCAAUUCGUCGCGUCCUCUCUGAGCGUCGUUUGCUUCAAACCGAGCGGAUCGCAUGCCGGGCCUUCCUCCCGUUUAUUCACUCGUUUCCUCCCCGCUGCGGACCGAACAUCCUCGUCAGCCUCUAAGCAAACAACGGCAUUAAUGGCUUUGGCUGCGGCUGGCGUCUGUGAGGACGUGCGGCUCAAUGUCAAGUGAAUUUCGGAGACGGGAAGGUUGACCCGUCGUUUCCCCGAGCCCGAGCAAAGCCGACAGCAGCUUCCAUGCGGAUCAUAUAAUGCGGGCGUGUGCCGUGGGAGGACAGGAGCGACGUGGUGCCAAAGUGCCAACUGAAGGGGCUUUAAAUCCAGCCGCUGUCUAUUGUUCAUGGAGGUCGAGUGAUGCAGGCCCACACGUGACGCCCCCGCGCUGCCGCGCGUGACCUUGUUCCGGAUACAUGAUGAUCAUAAUUAACGUUGUGAUGAAGCCAGAUGCCUUCAUCGAUCAUCUGGACACGCCACUCGUGCUGCUUGUGCUGAAACCCGGCGGACGCUCUUCCUUCACUGUAAUAACACGAGUGUGUAAACCAAGUAUAAAAACUAAACCAACACUACACACAAGCAAUGGUGGUUGUGUGAAGACGCGCCUUUAUGUGCGUCCAUCCUGCCAACCACGUCCAGCAGGUUGCUGGAGGAGCGCCAUGUCUGUUGUUUCGGCCCCUCUUUGGAGGCUCGGCGGGGUCUUUCCCACCGGCUCAGGGUCCUGAGAAGAAACGUGUUCUCGUCCUUCUUCACCGUCAUUCAAUCACGUCACAGAGGGACAAACGCACACGGGACGCUUUCAAUGACAAUUUUACUGUUAAAAUAGAGAUCAGAAGAGAAGAGAUCAACUUCAGAGAGGUCAGCAGAACCUCUGUGGAAGACGUGAAUAUGCUGGAUGGGGAAGAUGAUUAAGAGCAUAAUGACCAAGGGCCAAUUUUAAAAAAUGCUGCAGCGGUUUGCUUCCCUUUGGAACUUCAAAGCGGGAAAAGAGACAAAACGGAGGGAACAGAAAUAGAGGGGAACAAUCUUUGCUGCUGGAAAAAAAAAAGCGAAAUGUACUUCAAGCACCUUGAAGUCUGAGUAAUAUGAGUUGUUGUCACAGAGAACGAUGAGAGCGAGGAAAGACGUGAGAUCUGGACCUUGGGCUUUGAUCUUUAGUAAGGCACUACUUGUAAUACUUAAACAUCAAAGCUACAAAGUGAGAGGAUCUUUCAAUCUGAGCCGCCGCUGCACAAAACAGCCGGCUGAGUGACUCCCACACAUUUCCAAAUUGGAAAAUGGGAAAUGCUUUGUAGUUUGUUUGGUGACAACAGACGCUUUCAGGACCAGCGGUGUUCAUUAGUGGAGCGGACCGAAAGCUCUCGAUGCUCAAAAAUCCACUUUGAGGAGUGGCAGGUUAUGGGAGAUUUAUUUGUUCAAUAUAUUUCGAGAUCUCAGUGAGAUUUUAGUCAUUUUAUUGAAAGUUUGACGACACCAUCAAUCAGUCCUCAACAGAAAAAGUUCAUACGUCUUCCUGACAAGGACGUUGUGCUUAAAUCAUCACUAAGCAUCCACCUGUUGGGUCAUUUCCUUUUACCUGUGCUCGAAAAAAGGAGAAAAUAAGACCACAUUUUGAAAAAAAAAACUAUUAUUGCAAAUAUUUGCUUGGAUUAAAAGAACUAAAUUUGAAGUGCAAUGGAAUUGCAGAGAAAGGUUGUGGAGUUAACAGCACUCAAAUGAGUUCUGAACCUCUUGAAACUUUUCUUUUCAUUACAUCAUCUCGCUUUGUCCUUUUCUUAUGCAAUGAUUAGUCGCCGGAGAUCCACACGGAUCCUUCACCAAAAAUCGACAUUAGCUUCUUCUCCC
ensembl:lncRNA